rnacentral:rRNA from 1 species
UUGAACGCUGGCGGCAGGCCUAACACAUGCAAGUCGAGCGGUAGCACAGAGAGCUUGCUCUCGGGUGACGAGCGGCGGACGGGUGAGUAAUGUCUGGGAAACUGCCUGAUGGAGGGGGAUAACUACUGGAAACGGUAGCUAAUACCGCAUAAUGUCGCAAGACCAAAGUGGGGGACCUUCGGGCCUCAUGCCAUCAGAUGUGCCCAGAUGGGAUUAGCUAGUAGGUGGGGUAACGGCUCACCUAGGCGACGAUCCCUAGCUGGUCUGAGAGGAUGACCAGCCACACUGGAACUGAGACACGGUCCAGACUCCUACGGGAGGCAGCAGUGGGGAAUAUUGCACAAUGGGCGCAAGCCUGAUGCAGCCAUGCCGCGUGUGUGAAGAAGGCCUUCGGGUUGUAAAGCACUUUCAGCGGGGAGGAAGGCGGUGAGGUUAAUAACCUCAUCGAUUGACGUUACCCGCAGAAGAAGCACCGGCUAACUCCGUGCCAGCAGCCGCGGUAAUACGGAGGGUGCAAGCGUUAAUCGGAAUUACUGGGCGUAAAGCGCACGCAGGCGGUCUGUCAAGUCGGAUGUGAAAUCCCCGGGCUCAACCUGGGAACUGCAUUCGAAACUGGCAGGCUAGAGUCUUGUAGAGGGGGGUAGAAUUCCAGGUGUAGCGGUGAAAUGCGUAGAGAUCUGGAGGAAUACCGGUGGCGAAGGCGGCCCCCUGGACAAAGACUGACGCUCAGGUGCGAAAGCGUGGGGAGCAAACAGGAUUAGAUACCCUGGUAGUCCACGCUGUAAACGAUGAAUACUAGGUGUGGGAGGACUGACCCCUUCCGUGCCGCAGUUAACACAAUAAGUAUUCCACCUGGGGAGUACGACCGCAAGGUUGAAACUCAAAGGAAUUGACGGGGGCCCGCACAAGCGGUGGAGCAUGUGGUUUAAUUCGAUGCAACGCGAAGAACCUUACCUGGUCUUGACAUCCACAGAACUUUCCAGAGAUGGAUUGGUGCCUUCGGGAACUGUGAGACAGGUGCUGCAUGGCUGUCGUCAGCUCGUGUUGUGAAAUGUUGGGUUAAGUCCCGCAACGAGCGCAACCCUUAUCCUUUGUUGCCAGCGGUUAGGCCGGGAACUCAAAGGAGACUGCCAGUGAUAAACUGGAGGAAGGUGGGGAUGACGUCAAGUCAUCAUGGCCCUUACGACCAGGGCUACACACGUGCUACAAUGGCAUAUACAAAGAGAAGCGACCUCGCGAGAGCAAGCGGACCUCAUAAAGUAUGUCGUAGUCCGGAUUGGAGUCUGCAACUCGACUCCAUGAAGUCGGAAUCGCUAGUAAUCGUAGAUCAGAAUGCUACGGUGAAUACGUUCCCGGGCCUUGUACACACCGCCCGUCACACCAUGGGAGUGGGUUGCAAAAGAAGUAGGUAGCUUAACCUUCGGGAGGGCGCUUACCACUUUGUGAUUCAUGACUGGGGUG